AGCAUUUAGAGCAAAUCUGACAUGGGGUUAAAUUGUUUAUCAGGUCAAGAUCUAUCUGCCCUGAAAUUUUUAGAUGAUUCAGACAACCCAUUGUUGGGUUGCUGCCCCUAAAUUGGUAAUUUUAAGGAAAUUUUACUGUUUUUGGUUAUUAUCUUGAAUAUUAUUAUAGAUGGAGAUAAACUGUAAACAGCAAUAAUGUACAGCAAUUUAAGACUCAAAAAUAAGUCUAAAUGACCAAAAUGGUCAAUUGACCCCCUAAGAAGUUAUUGUCCUAUAUAAUCAAUUUUUAACAAUUUUCAUAAAAUUUGUAAAUUUUUACUAACAUUUUCCACUGAAACUACACGGACAAGUUCAUUAUAGAUAGAGAUAAUUGUAAGCAGCAAGAAUGUUCAGUAAAGUAAGAUGUACAAACACAUCACAAUCACCUAAACACAAUUUUGUCAUGAACUGUCUGCUUCCUUUGUUUAAUUCACAUAUACCAAGGUGAGCGACACAGCCUCUUUAGAGCCUCUAGUUUUUUUUAAUU
rnacentral:lncRNA from 1 species